CGGACACCGGUGCAACCCAUCACAUGACCGCUACGUUUGUCAACAAUCCACAAUCUUAUGGUGGCCCUCAUAAUGUAUAUAUGGAUUUUGGGGACUCAAUGCCCGUUUCCGAUACUGGGCCCAUGCAAAGAUGGUGUCUAUCCGCUUCGCUUUUCUUUCGAGUCCACAAUCCCUCAUGUACAACUUCCAGGGCUGUUGGACUUCACAAUUCUUACCAGCUCUGGUGCCCUUCCUGUCUCCACGUAUUCAAUUUCCAGCUGGCCAAGUUCGUAGACCACUACCCAAAGUCUGAGCCAAAGGCCCAAUGACCCAAGUUCACCAUUUGGUCAAACUCCACCCUUGCCCCCUCACGCAUCAAACCCGCCCUCCACCAAUCUCCAACUUUCGCUUCCUUCAUCAUCGGCCCUGCUGCCUCUCCGGUCGUCACCUACCACCGCCGUUACCGACCGACACCUGCGCCCAAGCCGCCUGCUCGAUCCACCGUCAUGGAUCCUCAGGUCGUCGCUACAUUUCCAGCCGACGUUGAUCCUCCACACAACUCAUCCACGAUAUCCUUGCCUUCUUUGCCCAUCAUUGUGGCUUCUGCUCAUCCAUCCCUGGCCUCCGCAUCUCCAUACACCACACC